rnacentral:rRNA from 1 species
GACGAUUAGAGUUUGAUCAUGGCUCAGGAUGAACGCUGGCGGCGCACAUAAGACAUGCAAGUCGAACGAAAGUCGUUGUAAGGAUUUGGAAGUGGACAGAGAACUUGUUCAAAGAAAGCAGAUAUUGAAUUACAACAAUGGCUUUAGUGGCGGACUGGUGAGUAACGCGUGAGCAACCUACCUAUUAGAGGGGAAUAACAGUGAGAAAUCAUUGCUAAUACCGCAUAUGCCAUAACCUUCACAUGAAGGAAGUGGGAAAGGAGUAAUCCGCUGAUAGAUGGGCUCGCGUCUGAUUAGCUAGUUGGUGAGGUAAUGGCUCACCAAGGCAACGAUCAGUAGCCGGACUGAGAGGUUGAACGGCCACAUUGGGACUGAGAUACGGCCCAGACUCCUACGGGAGGCAGCAGUCGGGAAUAUUGCGCAAUGGAGGAAACUCUGACGCAGUGACGCCGCGUAUAGGACGAAGGUCUUCGGAUUGUAAACUAUUGUCGUUAGGGAAGAAAAAAAUGACAGUACCUAAGGAGGAAGCUCCGGCUAACUACGUGCCAGCAGCCGCGGUAAUACGUAGGUGGCAAGCGUUGUCCGGAAUUAUUGGGCGUAAAGCGCGCGCAGGCGGUCCCUUAAGUCUGAUGUGAAAGCCCACGGCUCAACCGUGGAGGGUCAUUGGAAACUGGGGGACUUGAGUGCAGAAGAGGAAAGUGGAAUUCCAUGUGUAGCGGUGAAAUGCGUAGAGAUGUGGAGGAACACCAGUGGCGAAGGCGACUUUCUGGUCUGUAACUGACGCUGAGGCGCGAAAGCGUGGGGAGCAAACAGGAUUAGAUACCCUGGUAGUCCACGCCGUAAACGAUGAGUGCUAAGUGUUAGGGGGUUUCCGCCCCUUAGUGCUGCAGCUAACGCAUUAAGCACUCCGCCUGGGUAGUACGGCCGCAAGGCUGAAACUCAAAGGAAUUGACGGGGGCCCGCACAAGCGGUGGAGCAUGUGGUUUAAUUCGAAGCAACGCGAAGAACCUUACCAGGUCUUGACAUCCCGCUGCCCGCCCUGGAGACAGGGCUUUCCCUUCGGGGACAGCGGUGACAGGUGGUGCAUGGUUGUCGUCAGCUCGUGUCGUGAGAUGUUGGGUUAAGUCCCGCAACGAGCGCAACCCUUGAUCUUAGUUGCCAGCAUUCAGUUGGGCACUCUAAGGUGACUGCCGGUGACAAACCGGAGGAAGGUGGGGAUGACGUCAAAUCAUCAUGCCCCUUAUGACCUGGGCUACACACGUGCUACAAUGGACGGUACAAAGGGCUGCCAACCCGCGAGGGGGAGCCAAUCCCAGAAAACCGUUCUCAGUUCGGAUUGCAGGCUGCAACUCGCCUGCAUGAAGCCGGAAUCGCUAGUAAUCGUGGAUCAGCAUGCCACGGCGAAUACGUUCCCGGGCCUUGUACACACCGCCCGUCACACCACGAGAGUUUGUAACACCCGAAGUCGGUGAGGUAACCCCUUGUGGGAGCCAGCCGCCGAAGGUGGGACAGAUGAUUGGGGUGAAGUCGUAACAAGG